rnacentral:lncRNA from 1 species
GGACUUUCCAUCAGCUCCAGCAGGACAGGGCCUGGAGACCGGCCCUGGAGCGAUGGAGGAGGCUCCUGGGGGAUGGAUCUCAGCCCUCGGGGAGAGCCUUCCUGCCUGCGAGAUCCCGGGGGCCAGAGGCAGCCAAAGCCUUUCCUUGCCUGGAGGAUUUCAAAGCAGAGGGAAAAUGCCAGCAAACGGCUCCCAGGGAGAAGAUUUGUCACCAGGCAGGCUGGAGCGUCACACUGAGCCAAGAGUCUGGACAUGUCAGUGCUGCAGCAGUGCCCUUCGCAGGCACCCUCCGUGCUCCAGGACUCUGCCAUCUGCAUCCCAGCGCGCUGCUCCGCCCUGUCCUUACAGGGCACGAGGAUUCUGCGGCUCCAUCUGCCCCCAGGACAUCGGGGAGCUGUCGGAGACCUUCCCCCCGCCGCGUGUGCUCAGCCCGGAGCAUCCUGCCCCGCUGGGGGACGGCGCACGAGAUGCUUUUCCUGGUUUUAUUCCCUAACUCAAGCCGUCAGGGCGGCUGGAAUAGCUGCAGAGAGUUGCACAGGUCUUUGCAACCCAUCUGCAGCCUCGCUGUCCCCGGCAGAAUGGAAAAUUUCAACCCAAAGAAUGAUUUGUUGCUGUUUUUGCAGCAGCAGAAGCUCCUUCCCGCCCCAAAGGAAGGAAAACACCAGGAGGGUCUCAAGUCUUGAGGAUCCAAGCAGACAGAAGGGAAGAAUCAGCUCCUCCUGCCAGGUGGACCAAGGACACCUUCAGGUCUCCCCCUGCAGGCUCCCUUCCCCUCCACCCCGGCACUCAGAUCCUCCGGGGAGCGGCGCAGCUCACGGCGUCUGGGCAGCGCCAGGAGAAGGACAAACAGCAUCUGUCCAGCUCAGCAGGGAACCAGCGCAGCUUUCCCAGCCCGUCCCCGUGUCUGGGAGCCCGGCACCAACCGGGACUCAGCGUUUCCAGCCCUUCAUCCUCCCGGAUGAGACAGGCUGUGGGGAGAAGACCCCAACACGAUGAGGGAGGGGUUUAGUGAGGGCCCCUCAGCCCCUGUGGCCGUUAAGACAUUCCAGCUCGGGAUAUUCUGGUAUCCACGGCUCUGGGAUUUGAGAUCUUCUGGGCUGGGAGGACAGGAGGCUCCUGCUGAGUGCAAGGGAUGACAAAGGAGCUCAGGCACAGAAGGUUUUGCAGAUUCCUGCAGUGUUCCUCCUGAGAAUCACCCCCCUCAUUCCCCCUGGCUCUGGAUCCCGGCUCCUGUGACCCUGAACACCCUGACUGGCUGUAAUUAAAGGCCGAGCAAUUGCC